rnacentral:rRNA from 1 species
GGCUUACACAAUGCAAGUCGAGCGGAACGAGAUAGCUUGCUAUCAAGGCGUCGGAGCGGGCGUGCACUUUUGUGAGUAAACGCGUAGGAACCUACCUAAUAGUUUGCGGGAUAGCCAUUGGAAACGAUGAUUAAUACCGGAUUACGCCCCUACGGGGGGGAAAAGCAAAGGAACCUUUCGGGGCUUUUGCCGCUUAUUUAGAUGGGGCCCUGGCGUGGAGAAUUAGCUUAGUUUGGUGGGGUAAAUGCCCCCACCCAAGGGCGAACGAAUCUUUUAGCUGGGUCUGAAGAGGGAUGAAUCAGCCCACACCUGGGAAACUGGAAACCCGGGUCCAGACUUCCUUACGGGGAGGGCAGCAGUGGGGGGAAUUUUUUGCCACCAAUGGGGGCGAAAAGCCCUGAAUGCAGCCCAUGCC